AUCUCCGUAAAGGCAAGGAGAGAAGGAUGUACGGUUUCGAGGCGCUUACGUUCAACAUCCAUGGCGGAUACUUGGAGGCGAUCGUGAGGGGCCACCGUGCUGGCCUUCUCACCACCGCCGAUUACAACAAUCUCUGCCAGUGCGAAAACCUUGACGACAUCAAGAUGCACCUCUCCGCCACCAAAUACGGCCCUUACCUCCAAAACGGUGCGUUUUCCCUCGUUUGAUCGGUCUCUCGAUCCGUGAUGAUGAUCUGAUUAGUUGACUUUGAUUCUGACAUGAACAUUGAGAUUAUGAGGAACACGCUCUACAAAGCAUACCUUGAGGAUUUUUACAAGUUCUGUCAGGUGUUACUUGACUCUUGAAUCUUUUUUUUUAACACAAAUUCAUAAUCUACCUAUUAUGCUAGCUAACCCCAUUGUCGCUGUGUAUCCGAAAUAGAAACUUGGUGGGGCAACAUCAGAGAUUAUGUCUGACCUUCUAGCCUUCGAAGCUGACAGAAGAGCUGUGAACAUCACCAUCAAUAGGUUAUUAUCUACUACCACAAGAUGUUACGGUCUUUAUAAAGUCGCUGAAACUGAAUUUCCUUUUUUUAUGCAGCAUUGGCACUGAGCUUACAAGAGAAGACAGGAAGAAACUCUACUCUAACUUUGGUCUUCUGUAAGCAUUGUAGACCCAAACUAUAUAUUCCAUUCAAUGGUGUUUUUCUUACCAUGGUUUUACUUUUUUUGCUUGUGAAGCUAUCCAUAUGGCCACGAGGAGCUUGCUAUCUGCGAAGACAUAGAUCAGGUAAACACUUAAGCUAAUAACAUUAUAAUAUGUUAUGUGUGAAAAUGAAUCUAAUUGUCAAUUUGUCAUUCACUGUUAGGUUCGUGGUGUUAUGGAGAAAUACCCUCCUUACCAAGCGAUAUUCUCCAAGAUGUCUUAUGUAAAGUUCUUGCAAGGAUAUACAUAAAACCUGUUUGUUUGUAAAAAACUUAUGUUUUACCCUGUAAUAUAUGUCAUGUGCUAUGUAUUGAAUUUUAAUCUUUUAACAUGGUUCUAAGUGUUAAUCAUGAUAGAGAGUUAACUUGCUUAAACCAAAUGCAAAGGUUGUGUUAGGUACAGAAAAUGUGUGGGUCCACGGACGUAUGACUCGGUCUCAGUUCUUGGGUUCUAAGUGUAAUAAACUUAAGAGUUGUUACUUUGCUACAGAACUGCUGCGAUGAACUAGCUAAGUCCUUGAGGUCCGGACUGGUGGCAUGUUGGAGAUAGUGAAGCACCUUUCUUGGGAAGGACCUGAUGAAGAGACACCAAAUUGGAAUGGCACGACGUAUCUUGGCAAUGACUAUUGUCAAAAAGGUCCAAAACCAAGGCACACUUGCUCCAUUCUAGUAACAAGAAUUGAAUCUUUCAGAGAAAUGUCACAAGGAUUGAAAAUCUCAGGCUAAAGUUAGUAAAAAGGUUUUGAAUUUCAAUUUUUUUUGCUAUAUAUCUUAUAACUAAAUGGUUUUAUAAGGGCAUCUCCAGUGUCAUAUGUGACAUAUUUCAUUUUUUUGGUUCUUGUAAAUUUUCUUGUAUGUUAUGUUUGGAUUUAGUUUGUAGCUAAAAGUACAGAAUAAAAAAAAUGAGAUUUGGUCUAAACCGAUCAACCGAAUCAACACUAAUGUCCAAUUUUCGGUUUAGAAGUAUUUGCGCGCGUGCGAAUCGUACCAGACCGGUUUAUGGCUAUAACAGAGGGGCAUUAUGGUAAUUUAUAAAGUUCCAAGGACGAGAUUGCAAAACAAAUCAAUCAAAUCUAUCUUCUUUAACGUUUUGAUCUCUCUGGCUCUGCUUCGAUUGUUUUCUUCAGAUCUCUCUCUCCGUUCAACCUUUAAGAUCUGAAUUAUCUCCGUAAAGGCAAGGAGAGAAGGAUGUACGGUUUCGAGGCGCUUACGUUCAACAUCCAUGGCGGAUACUUGGAGGCGAUCGUGAGGGGCCACCGUGCUGGCCUUCUCACCACCGCCGAUUACAACAAUCUCUGCCAGUGCGAAAACCUUGACGACAUCAAGAUGCACCUCUCCGCCACCAAAUACGGCCCUUACCUCCAAAACGG
rnacentral:lncRNA from 1 species